GUACUAUGGCCUGCCAGGCUCCUCUGUCCAUGGGAUUCUCCAGGCAAGAAUACUGGAGUGGGUUGCCAUGCCCUCCUCCAGGGGAUCUUCCCAACCCAGGGAUUGAACCCACAUCUCCUGCAGUUCCGGCAUUGGCAGACAUUGAUUACCGGCAGAUAGAUCAUCCCUGACAUACCAGCCAGAGUUGAGGUCUCUAUUGAAAAGACCCUGAUGCUGCGAAAGAUUGAAGGCAGGAGGAGAAGGGGACGACAGAGGAUGAGAUGGUUGGAUGGCAUCACUGACUCAAUGGAUAUGAGUUUGAGUGAAUAGAACAGAUGUGACUCCCAAAUAUGAGGAUAACAAUGGCACCAAAGGAGUGUUCUGAUUGCCCAUUAUACUUGGAUCUGGAAGGACUUGUGAAAGAAGUUAAGGUUGCAACCCAUUAAUGGAUUUGAAAUCAACUGAAUGAUUUAUUACCAGUGUUUUGGGAGACAUGAUAUUGACUAGAACAGAGUAGUCAAUAUCAAAGUGGACUACAC
ensembl:lncRNA